rnacentral:rRNA from 1 species
ACGCACGCUGGCGGUGUGCUUAACACAUGCAAGUCGAACGGUAAGGCCCUUUCGGGGGUACACGAGUGGCGACCGGGUGAGUAACACGUGAGUAACCUGCCCUCAUCUCUGGGAUAACAGUCGGAAACGGUUGCUAAUACUGGAUAUGAGCUUGCAAGGCAUCUUGUGGGUUGGAAAGAUUUUUUUGGUUGGGGAUGGACUCGCGGCCUAUCAGCUUGUUGGUGAGGUAGUGGCUCACCAAGGCUUCGACGGGUAGCCGGCCUGAGAGGGCGACCGGCCACAUUGGGACUGAGAUACGGCCCAAACUCCUACGGGAGGCAGCAGUGGGGAAUAUUGCACAAUGGACGGAAGUCUGAUGCAGCAACGCCGCGUGCGGGAUGACGGCCUUCGGGUUGUAAACCGCUUUCAAUUGUGACGAAGCUUUUUGUGACGGUAGCAGUAGAAGAAGCACCGGCUAACUACGUG